AAAUGAUUGCCUUUGGAUUCAUGAAAGAAAAUUCUAUCCAGAGAAGGGCCAAAAAGCAAUCUAUAAAGGGUGGAACUCAAUCAAGUUCUCGUGACAAGAUCUGAGAUAGAUCCUUCCAUGCCAUACCAAAGAACUGUCUCCAAGGGAAAGGACUUUACAAGAGUCUUAUCCCAGCUGGGGGAGAGCAUUCCUCCUUUAUGACCCUCUAACUUUUCUGUCUCAGCUGCGGUUGUGGUGGGGAACAGGAAACUAUACCCUGGAUCAACACUUAUGAAGGUCACAACCCUGAACACAGGCCCACUGAAGACCAAGAUUUAAUCAUAAGAUUAUAAAAUGCUUCUUUUCUGCAACACCUCCCCACUGUAUUAAGAGGUUUCUAGUGUAGUAACAAUGGAUUCCAGCUGAAAGCGCUGCAAGACACAAACUCUGAGGAAGAAUACUUAGGGAAGGCCAAAAUCAGAAGGAGAGACAAAAACAAGGACAUUAGAAGAAUUUGAAGUUUCUGGCACUUACAGCUUCAGAAAACAUUAAGCCCAGCCCACUUCUUAGCCAGAUUUAUAUAAAUCAUCACCCAUAAGAUGAUUUAAAUAAAUCCUUUGUAUAAAAUCAU
rnacentral:lncRNA from 1 species